rnacentral:rRNA from 1 species
CCAAUAGCGUAUAUUAAAGUUGUUGCAGUUAAAAAGCUCGUAGUUGAAUUUCGGGGUUAGUAGGUUGGUCAUGCCUCUGGUAUGUACUGGUCUCACUGAUUCCUCCUUCCUGAUGAGCCGUAAUGCCAUUAAUUUGGUGUUGCGGGGAAUUUGGACUGUUACUUUGAAAAAAUUAAAGUGUUUAAAGCAAGCUAACGCUAGAAUACAUUAUCAUGGAAUAAUGAAAUAGGACGUUCGAUCCUAUUUUGUUGGUUUCUAGGAUUGACGUAAUGAUUAAUAGGGAUAGUUGGGGGCAUUAGUAUUCAAUUGUCAGAGAUGAAAUUCUUGGAUUUAUUGAAGACUAACUACUUCGAAAGCAUUUGCCAAGGAUGUUUUCAUUAAUCAAGAACGAAAGUUAGGGGAUCGAAGACGAUCAGAUACCGUCGUAGUCUUAACCAUAAACUAUGCCGACUAGUGAUCGGAUGAUGUUAAUUUUUUAAUGACUCAUUCGGCGCCUUACG